GACGAACGCUGGCGGCGUGCUUAACACAUGCAAGUCGAACGGAAAGGCCCUGCUUUUGUGGGGUGCUCGAGUGGCGAACGGGUGAGUAACACGUGAGUAACCUGCCCUUGACUUUGGGAUAUCUUCAUGAAACUGGGGCUCAUACCGGAUAGGAGCUCCUGCUGCAUGGUGGGGGUUGGAAAGUUUCGGCGGUUGGGGAUGGACUCGCGGCUUAUCAGCUUGUUGGUUGGGUAGUGGCUUACCAAGGCUUUGACGGGUAGCCGGCCUGAGCGGGUGACCGGCCAAAUUGGGACUGGGAUACGGCCCGGACUCCAACGGGAGGCAGCAGUGGGGAAUAUUGCACAAUGGGCGGAAGGCUGAUGCAGCAAAGCCGCGUGCGGGAAGACGGCAUGCGGGUAGUAAACCGCUUUCGCCUGUGACGAAGCGUGAGUGACGGUAAUGGGUAAAGAAGCACCGGCUAACUACGUG
rnacentral:rRNA from 1 species